rnacentral:tRNA from 1 species
GGUAAAAUGGCUGAUUAUAGGUAAUAAAUUGUAAAUUUAUUUAUGAAGUUAAAUAUUUCUUUUACCA